rnacentral:rRNA from 1 species
AUUGAACGCUGGCGCCAUGCUUUACACCUGCAAGUCGAACGGCCGCGCGGGCUUCGGCCUGGCGGCGAGUGGCGAACGGGUGUGUAAUGCAUCGGCACGCGCCCAGUAGUGGGGGAUAGUCUGGCGAAAGCCGGAAUAAUACCGCCUCCGACCUGCGGCCGACCGCCGGGGACCGUACGGCCUCGCGCCCUCCGACCGGCCGAUGUCUGAUGAGCUAGGUGGUGGGGUUAAGGCUUCCCAAGGCGACGACCCGUAACUGGUCCGCGUGGACGACGAGCCACAGUAGGACUGAGACACGGCCCAGACUGCUACGGGAGGCAGCAGUGGGGAAUUUUGGACAAUGGGGGCAACCCUGAUCCAGCCAUGCCGCGUGAGGGAAGAAGGCCUUCGGGUUGUAAACCGCUUUUGUUCGGGAAGGAAGCCUAUGGCCUAAUACCCCGGGGGGAUGACGGUACCGGAAGAAUAAGCACCGGCUAACUACGUG